rnacentral:tRNA from 1 species
GAGGGUAUGGUUCAGUGGUAGAGCACAUGCUUAGCAUGCACAAGGUUCUGGGUUCAAUCCCCAGUACCUCCA